GGUCUUCCUGCUUAGACGCUCAUCUCUAACUUUACUUUUAUAUUUUCACUUUUAUAUUUUCACUUUUAUAUUUUCACUUUUAUAUUUUCACUUUUAUAUUUUCACUUUUAUAUUUUCACUUUUAUAUUGUCACUUUUAUAUUUUCACUUUUAUAUUUUCACUUUUAUAUUUUCACUUUUAUAUUUUCACUUUUAUAUUUUCACUUUUAUGUUUUUACUUUUAUAUUUUCACUUUUAUAUUUUCACUUUUAUAUUUUUACUUAGUUUAUAUUAUGUUUCAGCUCAGCUUUUUACUUUUAUACAACAAUGCAUAUGUCAAACAUGAUUACAAGCUAUAGAGACAUUGUAUUUUACUGCG
rnacentral:lncRNA from 1 species